CAAAAGUGAGUAGAAAGGCUUUUUUGUGAAGGACCUCAUGGUUCACAAAGUAUGUUUGGGAGGGAAGUUUCAUUUUGUUUGAGUUCAUUAUCUCUAACUUCAGUUAGAACCCAUGGCUGGAAAUUGAGCUAUUAUCAAGGAACAUUACACUGUUCUUUGCAAGGAAAACCCUAGUUCCUCUUUUCAGCUCUCCAAUGGUCGCCAAAAUCAAGAGUUUCAGUCAAACAACAGAUGAUUGAAGAGGAAACAAUGAGCUUCAGGAGAGAUGUCCCGCGAGAACAGCAGUUGGAGGAAUGUGGAGGCAUUAGAUUUGUGAGAUGGGCCAGUUUCAAGAGUUUAUAGGCAGAAAUUAAGGAGUUUGACAGAGAUUGCGCCCUAUUCUUUGACUUUGCAGAAGCUUGAUGUGGCAUCCUUAUCUUUCCAUUCCCAUCUCAGACCUAGGUAUUCUUGUGACUCAUGGAUCGAAGAUUGCUUUGACAGAGGGCACAUUUCCAUAUCUACCAAAUUCAACUUAAGACAUGCAAUGUCUCAGAAACCAACACAUUUUCUGGUUUUAUUGAGGGUAGAAUCUACCGAAGUCGAUGAAAGUAAAAUAUAUUUCAUUUUAUUACCAACUCAAGCGCUUGAAAGCAACAAGAGUAAUAACUCGCUAUCUUUUACUAUGAAGUCACAUUAAGAUGACAACUUACCAACGAUUUACAGUAGGAUUUUUGUGAAGGUUUUCUCUUAGUCAUGAUACCCACCACCAUGACUGCUUAGUUGUUUAUGUUGAUUUUAUUAUAUCUAGGCAAUUAACAAAAGCAUUUCUGCAAUAGGUGCGAAGAGAAAUUUGUUAGAAGAGCUAAAUUCACAAUGGCCAAUCAGUGAAAAUAAUGAGAAGAUAAUGAAUACUUGCUAAGGAAUUUUAUCAAGGCGGAGAAUAGAAGACACAUUAUUAAAGCAUCAUUUAGUAUUUUUAGGGUUCUCAUUUGUAAUUAUUUAUUAAACCAAAGGGUGUGUCCUUUGGAGGGAAACUGUCUGUAACUCCCUUUUGUGUAUGAAAGGGUGUGUCCUUUCAUAUAUGUCUUUUGAUUCACAUACUUAUAGGGAGUCAUUUUUUAUGUAAAAGGGGGUGAGUUACAAGAACAACAUAAUGGUAUAGGGAUUGAAUAUCAUUUUGUAUCAGAGAAGUCUAUAGGAAGAAGAAGUAUCACUUUUGUGCAAACAAUUUGUAAUGAAAUAUUUACAAGUGCAGCUUAUGUAUACAAUUAUUUCCUAAAGAUUAAUAUACAAGGUUCAUUGUUUCUUUUUCCAAA